GACGAACGCUGGCGGUGUGCUUAACACAUGCAAGUCGAACGGUAAGGCCCUUUCGGGGGUACACGAGUGGCGAACGGGUGAGUGACACGUGAGUAACCUGCCCUCAUCUCUGGGAUAACAGUCGGAAACGGUUGCUAAUACUGGAUAUGAGCUUGCAAGGCAUCUUGUGGGUUGGAAAGAUUUUUUUGGUUGGGGAUGGACUCGCGGCCUAUCAGCUUGUUGGUGAGGUAGUGGCUCACCAAGGCUUCGACGGGUAGCCGGCCUGAGAGGGCGACCGGCCACAUUGGGACUGAGAUACGGCCCAAACUCCUACGGGAGGCAGCAGUGGGGAAUAUUGCACAAUGGACGGAAGUCUGAUGCAGCAACGCCGCGUGCGGGAUGACGGCCUUCGGGUUGUAAACCGCUUUCAAUUGUGACGAAGCUUUUUGUGACGGUAGCAGUAGAAGAAGCACCGGCUAACUACGUG
rnacentral:rRNA from 1 species